AAAAGACGUUAGUGUGUGCAGCCUCGGGGUCAACCCUGGGACGCUGCGAAAAAUAAAUGCGACCACGGCGACGUGCUGCGUCACCUCCGCCGUCGGGAAACUAGCCGGCGCGACCGAUGGAGUACACCGCAGGCGGUGCCGGGUAGCGCCCGCGCAGCAUCGUUUGGCACGGGCAUCCGGAGGAGUGCACCUGAUCUCAGCCAGCCGAGCUUCCGGCGCCGUCCUCCCAGGCCAGAGCCUUUGUUCGCACACACAGCCCCGGCGCCGCGUGUCGACGCGUUUCUGCAGUGUCCCACCGUGGAUGGACAAAACCCUCCACAGGUGAGCCGAGACGUGGUCGGAACCCGAAUGGCGAACACCUCGGAAACGAAGUCGGCAACUCCGCCUGAUCGCCGCGCCAACCUGGGUCCCAAACCAGACCCUGUGCCUCCGGAAAACAUGUGCAGCCAGGGACACGUUGUGACCGAACCGAAAGAGGAGCCGCGCACGCCGCCCAAUACGCCAACAGCCGACAGCUUCACGGAAGCGCCCCUGGCAGUGCCAGCGCAACGCGAGCCUCCUCCUGCCGUGGCCGAUUCCACCGCAGAUCAACCGGUGAGGCAUGGCAGAGACUGGAGCAGCGCCGGCAAGCCUCACGCGUGUCACAUCUGCAGGCGCCGCUACUGCUCCGUGGAGUGGCUGCGCCGUCACGUGGUCACCCACGAGCGAGGGAAACCGCUGAAGUGCGAUCGCUGCGGUCGCUCGUACAUGAUGCGACCGGCGCUCGCAAAGCACAAGGCAAACGUGCACGGCAUGUAAUGCCCACAGUGCGGUAAUUAUUUUUUUUUGCUUCAAUAAACAGUUUGCGUGACCAGCUCUGCUGCGUGUCAGCGCAACACUACAAAAAAACUCAGUGUCCUUCCACUCU